rnacentral:misc_RNA from 1 species
GGAAGUAAAAGUCGUAACAAGGUUUCCGUAGGUGAACCUGCGGAAGGAUCAUUAACGAAUUGUAAAGGGGAGCUGAUGCUGGUAGCUUUCGGGCUGCAAUGUGCUCGCUCUCCGACAUUUCUUUAUCCAUACACCUGUGAACCUUUGAGGGAAUCGAGUCUGUUUUAUUACGGAUUUGAGGCCCUCUUUAUUAACACAUACCCCCUUCUUAAAUAUUGAACGUGAUCGUGCCGAAAGGCCAUAAUCAAAUAUACAACUUUUAACAACGGAUCUCUUGGCUCUC